UGGGGAAUAUUGCACAAUGGGCGCAAGCCUGAUGCAGCCAUGCCGCGUGUGUGAAGAAGGCCUUCGGGUUGUAAAGCACUUUCAGCGGGGAGGAAGGCGGUGAGGUUAAUAACCUCAUCGAUUGACGUUACCCGCAGAAGAAGCACCGGCUAACUCCGUGCCAGCAGCCGCGGUAAUACGGAGGGUACAAGCGUUAAUCGGAAUUACUGGGCGUAAAGCGCACGCAGGCGGUCUGUCAAGUCGGAUGUGAAAUCCCCGGGCUCAACCUGGGAACUGCAUUCGAAACUGGCAGGCUAGAGUCUUGUAGAGGGGGGUAGAAUUCCAGGUGUAGCGGUGAAAUGCGUAGAGAUCUGGAGGAAUACCGGUGGCGAAGGCGGCCCCCUGGACGAAGACUGACGCUCAGGUGCGAAAGCGUGGGGAGCAAACAGG
rnacentral:rRNA from 1 species